rnacentral:tRNA from 1 species
UUAAAUGGCUGAAAUUUAGGCGAUAGACUGUAAAUCUAUUUAUAAGAAUUUAUUCUUUUUAAUUA